rnacentral:sRNA from 1 species
GCUGGGCGCGGUGGUGCACGCCUGUAAUCCCAGUGGCUUGGAAGGCCAAGGCAGGAGGACUGCGAGUUCAAAGCCAGCCUUAGCAAAAGCGAGGCACUGAGCAACUCAGUGAGACCCUGUCUCUA